rnacentral:rRNA from 1 species
GUGGGGAAUUUUGGACAAUGGGCGAAAGCCUGAUCCAGCAAUGCCGCGUGUGUGAAGAAGGCCUUCGGGUUGUAAAGCACUUUUGGCAGGGAAGAAACAGUGCGUGCUAAUACCAUGCGCGAAUGACGGUACCUGCAGAAUAAGCACCGGCUAACUACGUGCCAGCAGCCGCGGUAAUACGUAGGGUGCAAGCGUUAAUCGGACUUACUGGGCGUAAAGCGUGCGCAGGCGGCUUUGUAAGACGGAUGUGAAAGCCCCGGGCUCAACCUGGGAAGUGCAUUCGUGACUGCAAGGCUAGAGUGUGUCAGAGGGAGGUGGAAUUCCGCGUGUAGCAGUGAAAUGCGUAGAGAUGCGGAGGAACACCGAUGGCGAAGGCAGCCUCCUGGGAUAACACUGACGCUCAGGCACGAAAGCGUGGGGAGCAAACAGGAUUAGAUACCCGGGUAGUCC